UGGGGAAUAUUGCACAAUGGGCGAAAGCCUGAUGCAGCAACGCCGCGUGAGUGAUGAAGGCCUUCGGGUUGUAAAGCUCUGUCUUUUGGGACGAUAAUGACGGUACCAAAGGAGGAAGCCACGGCUAACUACGUGCCAGCAGCCGCGGUAAUACGUAGGUGGCAAGCGUUGUCCGGAUUUACUGGGCGUAAAGGAUGCGUAGGCGGAUUUUUAAGUGAGAUGUGAAAGCCCUAAGCUUAACUUGGGGACUGCAUUUCAUACUGGAAAUCUAGAGUGCGGGAGAGGAGAAUGGAAUUCCUAGUGUAGCGGUGAAAUGCGUAGAGAUUAGGAAGAACACCAGUGGCGAAGGCGAUCUCUGGACGUAACUGACGCUGAGGCAUGAAAAGCGUGGGUAUCAAAACAGGAUUAGAUACCCUGGUAGUCCACGCCGUAAAACGAUGAGUACUAGGUGUAGGAGGUAUCGACCCCUUCUGUGCCGCAGUUAACACAAUAAGCACUCCGCCUGGGGAGUACGGCCGCAAGGUUGAAAA
rnacentral:rRNA from 1 species